rnacentral:rRNA from 1 species
GAAUAUUGGUCAAUGGAUGCAAGUCUGAACCAGCCAUGCCGCGUGCAGGAAGACGGCCUUCUGGGUUGUAAACUGCUUUUGUCAGGGGAUAAAAAGACCUUGCGAGGUUAAUUGAAGGUACCUGGCGAAUAAGCCACGGCUAACUACGUGCCAGCAGCCGCGGUAAUACGUAGGUGGCAAGCGUUGUCCGGAUUUAUUGGGUUUAAAGGGUGCGUAGGCGGCCUAUUAAGUCAGUAGUGAAAUAUCACAGCUUAACUGGGAGGGUGCUAUUGAUACUGAUGGGCUUGAGUACAGAUGAGGUAGGCGGAAUUGACGGUGUAGCGGUGAAAUGCAUAGAUAUCGUCAAGAACACUGAUAGCGAAGGCAGCUUACUAAGUUGUAACUGACGCUGAUGCACGAAAGUGUGGGGAUCAAACAGG